AUUGAACGCUGGCGGCAGGCCUAACACAUGCAAGUCGAGCGGAUGAAGGGAGCUUGCUCCUGGAUUCAGCGGCGGACGGGUGAGUAAUGCCUAGGAAUCUGCCUGGUAGUGGGGGAUAACGUCCGGAAACGGGCGCUAAUACCGCAUACGUCCUGAGGGAGAAAGUGGGGGAUCUUCGGACCUCACGCUAUCAGAUGAGCCUAGGUCGGAUUAGCUAGUUGGUGGGGUAAAGGCCUACCAAGGCGACGAUCCGUAACUGGUCUGAGAGGGUGAUCAGUCACACUGGAACUGAGACACGGUCCAGACUCCUACGGGAGGCAGCAGUGGGGAAUAUUGGACAAUGGGCGAAAGCCUGAUCCAGCCAUGCCGCGUGUGUGAAGAAGGUCUUCGGAUUGUAAAGCACUUUAAGUUGGGAGGAAGGGCAGUAAGUUAAUACCUUGCUGUUUUGACGGUACCAACAGAAUAAGCACCGGCUAACUUCGUG
rnacentral:rRNA from 1 species